rnacentral:rRNA from 1 species
CCUUGAGAAAAGAAUAUUAGUUCUGCCUUAAAAUAUAUUAUGAAUUUCAACACAACACAUUUUUUAAGAGUUAUUCAAAUAGGGUACAGCCUAUUUGAAACAGGAAAUAACCUAACAGAUGGGGUAUUAAGCUCAAUAAUAUUUAAGUUGGCCUAAAAGCAGCCAUCUUUUAAAAAGCGUCAAAGCUUAUAUAUAAAGCCAUAAAAAAUUUUAAAUUAAUUGUUUAACCCACCACCCCUAUCAAGCAACUUUAUACCAAUAUAAAAAAUACUAUGUUAGAAUUAGUAAUAAGAAACUGAAUUUCUCCGAAAUAUAAGUGUAAUGCAAAAUAAACCAAUAACUGCUAAUUAAUAUAUUUAAAACUUAAGUAGUAACCUCACUAGAAAACCCUACCACAACUGAUAUUAAUCUAACACAAGAAUAUUAACGGAAAGAUUUAAAGAAGAGGAAGGAACUCGGCAAACAAUAAACCCCGCCUGUUUACCAAAAACAUCGCCUCUUGCUAAAUUAUAAGAGGUCCCGCCUGCCCAGUGAUUUAAUUUAACGGCUGCGGUAUCCUGACCGUGCAAAGGUAGCAUAAUCAAUUGUCCCUUAAAUUAGGACUAGUAUGAAUGGCACCACGAGGGUUUAACUGUCUCCCCCUUUUAAUCAAUGAAAUUAAUUUUCCCGUGAAGAAGCGGGAAUAAAGAUAUAAGACGAGAAGACCCCAUGGAGCUUCAAACUUAUCAACACUUAUUAAUUAUCGUAACAUAUUAAUUAAAUAUACUGCAUUUUAUAGUUUUCGGUUGGGGAAACCCUGGAGAAAAAUUUAUCCUCCAGAUUGAAAGAACUAAUAAUUCUUAUACUAGAAUUACGAUUCAAAUAAACAAAAACUUGACAAAACUGACCCAGUAAUUUACUGAUCAACGAACCAAGUUACCCUGGGGAUAACAGCGCAAUCCAUUUCAAGAGUCCUUAUCAACAAAUGGGUUUACGACCUCGAUGUUGGAUCGGGGCACCCUAGCGGCGCAGCCGUUGCUAAUGGUUCGUUUGUUCAACGAUUAAAACCCC